CCUAGGACAUUUACUUCCUACAUAUGAUUAGGCUAUAGUUCACUACAUUGCCUAGAAAUAAGUAUUGGUCACGCAUAUUUGGAUACUGGAUGCUGAUUGGCUAAAACAGCAUUUAGCUGUGUGUGAGACCGUAUAACAUGACUAUGACUGUUUAGGUUUGUCACCUUGAUAUCGUUGCGCCUUUUCACGUCGAUAAAAUGGCAACAUCAACAAUAGUUCGACAUGCCGAUGUAGAAAAUAAGCCUUUCGAUCAACUUGAUAGAUACCGAAACAAACUAAAUGGGCACUUGCCUGCUUCACUGACUGGUGUGCAGAACAUGGGAUACAUUGUGAGUUUGGGAAUACAACUAAAACGGAACCGAACGUUAUUCUAUGAUACUUUCAUGGUUUUGUGAGAAACAUGUAUGGCGAAUAAUAUAGGAUUAGCAGCUAACGUUACACUGGACUCUGAGCUGGUUUGAACCGACAUAUCAACGACCCCCUUAGUCUGGAAUGGAGUAGACAGAAGGACACCAAAUUCACAACGAGCAACAAACAAUGUGUCUGUCGGCAUAAUGAAAAAGUUGAAGAAAGAGGGGCUCAACAAAGCUGCCCACCAGUGAACUGAUACAUAUGUACACAAAAGACGAGCCGAUGGGAGUGACCACCCUCACCCCUGCAAAAUAGCUGUCCCGUCGCAGAUUUAAACAAACCACUGCCUCCGAACCACCGUGAUUCAGAAACGGUCGGAUGAUCAAUGGCGACCCGUAAUUCAGGACAGGUGGGGCAGCACCACCUGUUUUGAGCGACACACUUUUUUUAGGGGGUGCGGGGCUUGCCUGUUUUGCUUGUUAUUUUGGCAUUAAUAUGUUAUAUCAGUUUGCAAACAAUGUAACAAUAAAACUGUAUUUGAGUUAAUAAAGCCUGCAUACAAACAUGA